UACGGAGGGUGCAAGCGUUAUCCGGAAUCACUGGGCUUAAAGGGCGCGUAGGCGGGCUGUCAAGUCUGGGGUGAAAUGCCGCGGCUCAACCGUGGAACUGCCUUAGAUACUGACGGCCUCGAGGAAGGUAGGGGCAUGCGGAACUGUAGGUGGAGCGGUGAAAUGCGUUGAUAUCUACAGGAACUCCGGUGGCGAAAGCGGCGUGCUGGACCUUUUCUGACGCUGAGGCGCGAAAGCUAGGGGAGCAAACGGG
rnacentral:rRNA from 1 species